ensembl:misc_RNA
UUCCUUUUAUCCUCAACCCAAAACCCCACGGCAGCUAAUGCAAAAGGCCAAAAAUGUUUUGGAGGAAGAAAAACAAAGGCAGGAAGUGGCGGCGGCCUGACGGUGCGUGUGUGUCUGCGGAGAAGGGAGGGAGCCUUUUCAAUCUCUUCUUGUUGUUUUUCCAAACUUCAAGGUCUAGGCAG